CUUUCGAGGGCAACUUCUAGGUCAAUUCGUGAACAAUAGCAUAAUAGCGCUCAUUGGUUAACGUUAGUGACAUAUCGGACCUAAAUCAGAAUUGCCAACAUACCACUUCCACAGUAAACAUACACAUAGGGCGGUGGUGGACGUUAGACUCAGUCAUGUGAUGUAGCAUGUAGCAAAGCAUCUGCUGCAGUCAGUCAACACAGUUAAAAACAUUUGUAUUCAGGAAGGCAUGUCUGGCCUUGUGUUAAAUCUUAUGUUAAAAUGUUAAAACGUUUUCUAUUGUGCUUAUGUUAACUCAUUUUUAUUUUAUUGUAUUAUUAUAGUUCGUUUCUAAUAUGUUGGCACUCUGAGAUUCUUCUGAAUGAAGAGUGCAGUACAAAUAAAAUGAAUUAUUAUUAUUAUUAUUACAGUUCGGCACCAUCGGCUGUUUAAAUGUUUCAAUGGUGUAUUCAGAUGUUGAUAGAGAUCGAACCCACUCUCUGAUUUCAGCCAGCAUCUACGUGGUGCGGAAGAUCCGAGCCUCUAUCCAGGAGGGGGCGCAGGCCGAGGAACCGAUCUUCACACCAUGUAGUCUGGCCAAAGGUGCGCAGAGGGAGCUCUCAGGUGCGUCGGGGAAGACAGCCAUGUUGACCUCUGACCCUGAUGAUGACGGAGCGGGCGGGGUUCAGGCUCAAUCCACCGACACAGCAGUGCAGAAGUGCGGCUCCUCCUGAGGUUAAAGGUCACGCCAGCAGGUUGCUGAGGGCAACAGGAUGUCAACAAGAUGAUGGGCACCAGAAGUCUCUUGUCAUCCCCAAGACUUGUUAGGUUACCACCACCAGGUUAAGCUGAAUGCGGACUGUAGAGUCUGGAUUAGAUGAUCCUAUUAGCUGUAGAGAGGUCAGCGGACUUAAGAAUGUAAAAUAUCAAAAGUCAAAAUGACAUCAAGUCCACCUCCAGUCUAAAGGACAUCCUUGCAGUCCUAUGGGCACUGUCAUCGGUGUCAUCACUGUCAUCGGUGUCAUCGGUGUCAUCAGCGUCAUCACUGUCAUCGGUGUCAUCAGCCAUGGUGUCCUGAGUGGUGGCGGUGGACAAACAGUCCCAGAUUAACUAGCAGCAUUAUGUCACCCUUAUGACAUCAUCAUCAUCCCAGUCCUCCCAGAGCAGCUCUGCCAGGCGUGUCUUAAAACCAAGGAGCCUCUCUCUCUCUCUCUCUCUCUCUCUCUCUCUCUCUGUCUCUCUCUCUCUUUUUCAGCUGUUCAUGAUGGUCCGCACAUCAACCCUUCAUCGAGGGGCUGUUUGGACCUGAAGUUUUUCUUCAGCUGAAAACACACACACACACAUACGCACACCCACACACACACACACACACACACACACACACACACACACACACACACACACACACAUAUACACACACUUUCUCACACACAGAUUGUAAUAACAUAACUUCAACUCUGUAUGUGCGCAUCGUUUUUAGAACUGUAUGUCUGUUCAUGUCUGUUGAUGAGUGAGGUGUACAAUGACAAAUAAACAGUUUAUAACUACUUCAAUAAACACUUUAUAACACCACUGUUGUCUUUGGAGUAAAACGCAGAGGUCACUAUGAUAUCCCUAUGAUACUGCACAAAAAACAAAAGUAUUUGUAGUCUGUGUAUGUGUUAGAAUCUGACCAAAUCUAUAUUCUAACAUUAAUACAUGGCAAGGGAUAAGAUGGUACUAUACUAAAAAGUCAUUCUGUCACGUCCAAUAGAUUAAAGAAUGUAGUUUUUGGGCAGGUGUGUGUGUGUGUUUGUUUUACAGAUGAACACACACAUAUAAGCAACCAAAACAUGAUCACAAUUGUGUGUGUGUGUGUGUCUGUCAGCUUUUUUUCAGUUAGAACAGGUCUUACAGGUCCUACAGCACGUAGCAUCAACAAGACUCAGUGAAGUGGUGGUGGAAGAUUCCGGAUCGGUCAGGACUGAGCAGUGCUUUUGGUGCAGGUUAAUGGUUUUGGAUCGGUCAGGAGCAGUGCUUUUAGGUCAGGUUCAUGGUUUUGCCAGAGGGAGUCUCUGGUUCGUCAUAACCCUUUUUUUCCUUUUUUUGCUGUUGUGACAGAAAGGCAGAAUGUGACAAUUACCGUAAAUCCAUA
ensembl:lncRNA